GGUAGCAGUGAGUGGUGGCAGCAGUGUUACAAGAAGAAUUGCAAAUAAGCAGUGCAACAGCAGAGGAAAGACUGAGUAGCGCAUUUAACGCUCAAAAAUGUAUGCUUGGAACAGAUCUGUAUGAAAUAUUAUGAGGAUUGAUGAGAUGACCAUCAGUACAUGCAUAUAUGCUUGAGGUCUGCAAUGAGUGUGGCAGCAGUGUAAACAGUACUGUAGAGCAGAAGCUCAAGUCAAGAUGACCUUUUUUCUGGUGAUGGAUGCCAAAGUUGCAGUGAUCUCUUGUGGACUGGCAGUGAUUUUAACAUCUGACGUGACCAGAUUUUCAGAUUAUUCAGAACACAUCAAGAGCCUGUCAAGGUCAAUAUUUCACAUGUCUUCCUGAAGGCCGCUCCAUACCAGCCAGGUACAGCUUUUCCUGGAUCUAUACCAUCAUGCGCCCAGUGGAUGAUUCCUGCUAGUGUGGGAUCAUCGGUAGCACCACGUGGAGAAUGACCUUUCCAGCCAUGUGUCACCUGCCCAUGAUGCUCCAGGUGGCCCUCUCAGCAUAGCGUUUCUGAAUGUGUAUGUUGUAAUGCUCCAGUGAAGCAACUCAAAAAAUAGGAAAUAGAAAAGAGGAUCACAGCAAAGUAUUGGACUCAAGCACACACACACACACACAUACUGCCACAGAUACACACUAUUUUGUAUUCAGCAGCAGUUGGCAAGUGUUUGGUUUAAAAGAAGCCGUUUACACAGUUGGUAUUAAAGCUGCACAAGGCAAAAGAUGGCAGCACCAAGACUAUCAAACCUUGUUGAGUCCAGCUUCAUGUGGAAAGAACAAUCCUUCUGCUGUUCAGGAAAACAUUUGCUCUUUAUAUGAUUUCUUAAUUAAUGAAGCAUUCACAAUCAGGUGCAAGCAGGUACUAUUAAGAACUCUGCUGAUGAAGAUGCUCUGAGAAAUCUUUGAUGUCACAAGAAACCAAAUUCACAUAUACCUUUUUAGAGCGUCAAUUUUUUGUUGUUGUUUGCCUUCUGGGUUUGAUCAUCGGGACAUUUAAAGUUACUGUACACUGUGAGUAUUUUUUUGCAGGGUGCAUUUCUUGUUAUUUGAAUCUUUUUUUUUUUUUGUUUUUACCAUGAAUCUUAUUUUUUAAUUCACUUGCUGGGGUGAUGGCAAAAAUACAAAUGUGUUGCAUGCAGAAAUUGUUCUAGCAAAAAAGGUAUACAGUAUAAAAAGUAUUGUGAAUCUUCGAAGGAUCAUGAUGCAACAGGUGCAGCAGCUUCUCACAAAUUUUAAUGAACUAAUUCAUCACUUUAUGCCUGAAUUUAUUCAUCACUUUAUACAAAAAUAUCAUUGAAAUAAAAUGGAAAUAAAUAAUAACAAUAAUGAUUUCUGAACACUAAAAAUACAACCAAAAAAAAACAACUUUCCACCCAUGUCUGAUGCACAUCUAAUCAAGGCACAGUUAAGGCUGUUUUGUACACUGUCCAUCACUUGCACUCACUUUAUUUACAAAGUUUGUGUGUGUAAAUAAAGCGAGACAGUGCGCAGGAUGUUUUUUUUCUUUCACAGUCAGAGUUUUUUUUAUCUGGAACAUCCGUCCAUAAGACUUUCUGGUGUGCAAGAACCUUUCAGUUAUUAACAGCAGGUGAUUAUCAACUCUUUGAUCCAGGAGCACCAAACAUGAGUUUUCAAAACAGGUGCGCUCCUAAAAACUGAUUUCCCAUGUGAAGGUGACAAUACGUUAAUUGGAUGGAUUGCCUACCUCAAGCAAGGUUAAAGUCUCUGCAUGUUGAUUUUCAUAGCAUAGGGAAAUUAACAGAGGCCACUGACUGCUUAGCAGGUAGAAAACAAGUGUUAAGACUUUAGAAAAUGCCAGGCACAAUGUCAAAAAUAUGACAUUUGCAGUUAAGGGGCUAAAACACCCAAAACCAUCCAAGUGGCCCUUGAAACAAAAACAUUGUUCACGUUCUUUGAGCAACAAGUCAUGAGGGCAGAUUUCCAGGCAUUCAAGGUCCAAAGCCCCCAGGACAGUUCACCUUCUGCUGGAGUCAAAUGAAACCUAACAGGGAUAAUUGCCUUGUUAGGACUUCCCAUGAAGUAAGCUCCCCAGUGAGCUGCCAUGGGAAUGGUCAUGCAUAUAUGGAUGAACCCUGCACUCAGCUAGUAACCACCUGUCUGGCAAUGCAAAUAUUCCAUAGAUGGGGCGGGUAGAUGUGGGUAGUGAUGGCUGACGGAUGAAUGGAAGGACAAAGAGGACGGAGACGAUUAUGUUUUAAUGGUUGACAGCUAUUUUUCAGAGUAAGUGUAGAUGACAGAUGGAUGAUUAGUGUAUGUGUCUGUCUAAUCCAUCUGUACAGAGUCUAUUCACACUCUGUUUACAUAUUACAGGAUGGCAGAGAGAGGUGAAACUCCGGCCACUCUGGCUUCUACACACCCAGGAUUCACCAGGAAGAUUAUGUUUGAUUCUCUGACAGAACGCUCGAUGA